rnacentral:rRNA from 1 species
CAGUAGCCACGGUAAUACGAGGGGGGCAAGCGUUGUUCGGAAUUAUUGGGCGUAAAGGGUGCGUAGGCGGUUUGACAAGUCUUAUGUGAAAUCUCUGGGCUCAACCCAGAGUCUGCAUGGGAAACUGUCGAGCUUGAGUAUGGGAGAGGUGAGUGGAAUUUCCGGUGUAGCGGUGAAAUGCGUAGAUAUCGGAAGGAACACCCGUGGCGAAAGCGGCUCACUGGACCAUUACUGACGCUGAUGCACGAAAGCUAGGGGAGCAAACAGGAUUAGAUACCCCUGUAGUCCCUGUCUCUUAUAC